GCGCGCAUAGCUCAGUGGUAGAGCGUCACAUUGACAUUGUGAAGGCCCGAGGUUCGAUCCCUCGUGCGCGCACCG
rnacentral:tRNA from 1 species